rnacentral:misc_RNA from 1 species
AACACUGUUAACCUGCGGUACCUGCGGAAGGAUCAUUACCGAGUUUACAACUCCCAAACCCCUGUGAACAUACCACUUGUUGCCUCGGCGGAUCAGCCCGCUCCCGGUAAAACGGGACGGCCCGCCAGAGGACCCCUAAACUCUGUUUCUAUAUGUAACUUCUGAGUAAAACCAUAAAUAAAUCAAAACUUUCAGCAACGGAUCU